rnacentral:rRNA from 1 species
GAAAAGGCCAUGGUGAACUGGUUUCCCAUGGCCCUCAAGGAUGGCGCGCGGUUGUGGCUCCUGAAUCUGCCCGCGGGAUCGAUCUCCUCCUGGGGUGAGAUGUGUGAGCGUUGCAUUGCCAACUUCCAGGGCAUUCCCGACUGCCCGCCUGCCGCGGGUGACCUGCGACGCAUCAAGCAACAGCCAGGGGAGACCCUGCAGAAGUACAUCCAGUGCUUCAAUAGCGUUCUCCCCAAGAUCCCCAAGGUUUCGGACGAAGCCAUCAUCUCGGCAUUCUCCGAUAGCAUCCGUGAUGUUGAGAUGAAGGAGGAGCUUGCCAUCCCCGAGGAC